rnacentral:rRNA from 1 species
GGGUUGUGAGGUUAAGCGACUAAGCGUACACGGUGGAUGCCCUGGCAGUCAGAGGCGAUGAAGGACGUGCUAAUCUGCGAAAAGCGCCGGCGAGGUGAUAUGAACCCUUGACCCGGCGAUGUCCGAAUGGGGAAACCCAGUGUGUUCCGACACACUAUCGUUAACUGAAUACAUAGGUUAACGAGGCGAACCGGGGGAACUGAAACAUCUAAGUACCCCGAGGAAAAGAAAUCAACCGAGAUUCCCCCAGUAGCGGCGAGCGAACGGGGAGCAGCCCGGAGUCUGAAUCAGCUUGUGUGUUAGUGGAAGCGUCUGGAAAGUCGCAGGGUACAGGGUGAUACUCCCGUACACGAAAGCACACUUGCUGUGAACUCGAAGAGUAGGGCGGGACACGUGGUAUCCUGUCUGAAUAUGGGGGGACCAUCCUCCAAGGCUAAAUACUCCUGACUGACCGAUAGUGAACCAGUACCGUGAGGGAAAGGCGAAAAGAACCCCGGCGAGGGGAGUGAAAAAGAACCUGAAACCGUGUACGUACAAGCAGUGGGAGCACCUUCGUGGUGUGACUGCGUACCUUUUGUAUAAUGGGUCAGCGACUUAUAUUCUGUAGCAAGGUUAACCGUAUAGGGGAGCCGCAGGGAAACCGAGUCUUAACUGGGCGUUAAGUUGCAGGGUAUAGACCCGAAACCCGGUGAUCUAGCCAUGGGCAGGUUGAAGGUUGGGUAACACUAACUGGAGGACCGAACCGACUAAUGUUGAAAAAUUAGCGGAUGACCUGUGGCUGGGGGUGAAAGGCCAAUCAAACCGGGAGAUAGCUGGUUCUCCCCGAAAGCUAUUUAGGUAGCGCCUCGUGAACUCAUCUUCGGGGGUAGAGCACUGUUUCGGCUAGGGGGCCAUCCCGGCUUACCAACCCGAUGCAAACUACGAAUACCGAAGAAUGUUAUCACGGGAGACACACGGCGGGUGCUAACGUCCGUCGUGAAGAGGGAAACAACCCAGACCGCCAGCUAAGGUCCCAAAGUCAUGGUUAAGUGGGAAACGAUGUGGGAAGGCACAGACAGCCAGGAUGUUGGCUUAGAAGCAGCCAUCAUUUAAAGAAAGCGUAAUAGCUCACUGGUCGAGUCGGCCUGCGCGGAAGAUGUAACGGGGCUAAACCAUGCACCGAAGCUGCGGCAGCGACGCUUAUGCGUUGUUGGGUAGGGGAGCGUUCUGUAAGCCGUUGAAGGUGGCCUGUGAGGGCUGCUGGAGGUAUCAGAAGUGCGAAUGCUGACAUAAGUAACGAUAAAGCGGGUGAAAAGCCCGCUCGCCGGAAGACCAAGGGUUCCUGUCCAACGUUAAUCGGGGCAGGGUGAGUCGACCCCUAAGGCGAGGCCGAAAGGCGUAGUCGAUGGGAAACAGGUUAAUAUUCCUGUACUUGGUGUUACUGCGAAGGGGGGACGGAGAAGGCUAUGUCAGCCGGGCGACGGUUGUCCCGGUUUAAGCGUGUAGGUGUGUGUUCCAGGCAAAUCCGGUUCACUUUAACACUGAGGCGUGAUGACGAGGCACUACGGUGCUGAAGUGAUAAAUGCCCUGCUUCCAGGAAAAGCCUCUAAGCAUCAGGUAACACGAAAUCGUACCCCAAACCGACACAGGUGGUCAGGUAGAGAAUACCAAGGCGCUUGAGAGAACUCGGGUGAAGGAACUAGGCAAAAUGGUGCCGUAACUUCGGGAGAAGGCACGCUGAUAUGUAGGUGAAGCCCCUGCGGGUGGAGCUGAAAUCAGUCGAAGAUACCAGCUGGCUGCAACUGUUUAUUAAAAACACAGCACUGUGCAAACACGAAAGUGGACGUAUACGGUGUGACGCCUGCCCGGUGCCGGAAGGUUAAUUGAUGGGGUUAGCGGCAACGCGAAGCUCUUGAUCGAAGCCCCGGUAAACGGCGGCCGUAACUAUAACGGUCCUAAGGUAGCGAAAUUCCUUGUCGGGUAAGUUCCGACCUGCACGAAUGGCGUAAUGAUGGCCAGGCUGUCUCCACCCGAGACUCAGUGAAAUUGAACUCGCUGUGAAGAUGCAGUGUACCCGCGGCAAGACGGAAAGACCCCGUGAACCUUUACUAUAGCUUGACACUGAACACUGGUCCUUGAUGUGUAGGAUAGGUGGGAGGCUUUGAAGCGUGGACGCCAGUCUGCGUGGAGCCGUCCUUGAAAUACCACCCUUUAAUGGCUGGUGUUCUAACGUGGACCCGUAAUCCGGGUUGCGGACAGUGUCUGGUGGGUAGUUUGACUGGGGCGGUCUCCUCCCAAAGAGUAACGGAGGAGCACGAAGGUUAGCUAAUCCUGGUCGGACAUCAGGAGGUUAGUGCAAUGGCAUAAGCUAGCUUGACUGCGAGAGUGACGGCUCGAGCAGGUGCGAAAGCAGGUCAUAGUGAUCCGGUGGUUCUGAAUGGAAGGGCCAUCGCUCAACGGAUAAAAGGUACUCCGGGGAUAACAGGCUGAUACCGCCCAAGAGUUCAUAUCGACGGCGGUGUUUGGCACCUCGAUGUCGGCUCAUCACAUCCUGGGGCUGAAGUAGGUCCCAAGGGUAUGGCUGUUCGCCAUUUAAAGUGGUACGCGAGCUGGGUUUAGAACGUCGUGAGACAGUUCGGUCCCUAUCUGCCGUGGGCGCUGGAGAAUUGAGGGGGGCUGCUCCUAGUACGAGAGGACCGGAGUGGACGCAUCACUGGUGUUCGGGUUGUCAUGCCAAUGGCACUGCCCGGUAGCUAAAUGCGGAAGAGAUAAGUGCUGAAAGCAUCUAAGCACGAAACUUGCCCCGAGAUGAGUUCUCCCUGAGACUUUAAGUCUCCUGAAGGAACGUUGAAGACGACGACGUUGAUAGGUCGGGUGUGUAAGCGCAGCGAUGCGUUGAGCUAACCGAUACUAAUGAACCGUGAGGCUUAACCUUACAACGCCGAAGGUGUUU